UAGGGGAGCCGGAGGGAAACCGAGUCUUAAUUGGGCGUUAAGUUGCAGGGUAUAGACCCGAAACCCGGUGAUCUAGCCAUGGGCAGGUUGAAGGUUGGGUAACACUAACUGGAGGACCGAACCGACUAAUGUUGAAAAAUUAGCGGAUGACCUGUGGCUGGGGGUGAAAGGCCAAUCAAACCGGGAGAUAGCUGGUUCUCCCCGAAAGCUAUUUAGGUAGCGCCUCGUGAAUUCAUCUCCGGGGGUAGAGCACUGUUUCGGCUAGGGGGCCAUCCCGGCUUACCAACCCGAUGCAAACUGCGAAUACCGGAGAAUGUUAUCACGGGAGACACACGGCGGGUGCUAACGUCCGUCGUGAAGAGGGAAACAACCCAGACCGCCAGCUAAGGUCCCAAAGUCAUGGUUAAGUGGGAAACGAUGUGGGAAGGCCCAGACAGCCAGGAUGUUGGCUUAGAAGCAGCCAUCAUUUAAAGAAAGCGUAAUAGCUCACUGGUCGAGUCGGCCUGCGCGGAAGAUGUAACGGGGCUAAACCAUGCACCGAAGCUGCGGCAGCGACGCUGAUGCGUUGUUGGGUAGGGGAGCGUUCUGUAAGCCUGCGAAGG
rnacentral:rRNA from 1 species